rnacentral:rRNA from 1 species
CCUACGGGGGGCAGCAGUGGGGAAUCUUCCGCAAUGGGCGCAAGCCUGACGGAGCAACGCCGCGUGAAUGAAGAAGGUCUUCGGAUCGUAAAGUUCUGUUCUUAGGGAAGAAGUCUUAGGUUGUGAAUAAUGACUUAAGGUGACGGUACCUAUGGAGAAAGCUCCGGCUAACUACGUGCCAGCAGCCGCGGUAAUACGUAGGGAGCGAGCGUUGUCCGGAAUUACUGGGCGUAAAGGGCGCGUAGGCGGGAACUUAAGUUAGAUGUGAAAACUCCGGGCUUAACCUGGAGACUGCAUUUAAAACUGGGUUUCUUGAGGGCAGGAGAGGAAAGUGGAAUUCCUAGUGUAGCGGUGAAAUGCGUAGAUAUUAGGAGGAACACCAGUGGCGAAGGCGACUUUCUGGACUGUACCUGACGCUGAGGCGCGAAAGCAUGGGGA